AUUAGAGUUUGAUCCUGGCUCAGAUUGAACGCUGGCGGCAUGCCUUACACAUGCAAGUCGAACGGUAACGCGGGGGCAACCCUGGCGACGAGUGGCGAACGGGUGAGUAAUACAUCGGAACGUACCCAGUAGUGGGGGAUAGCUCGGCGAAAGCCGGAUUAAUACCGCAUACGACCCACGGGUGAAAGCGGGGGACCGCAAGGCCUCGCGCUAUUGGAGCGGCCGAUGUCGGAUUAGCUUGUUGGUGAGGUAAAAGCUCACCAAGGCGACGAUCCGUAGCUGGUCUGAGAGGACGACCAGCCACACUGGGACUGAGACACGGCCCAGACUCCUACGGGAGGCAGCAGUGGGGAAUUUUGGACAAUGGGCGAAAGCCUGAUCCAGCCAUGCCGCGUGUGUGAAGAAGGCCUUCGGGUUGUAAAGCACUUUUGUCCGGAACGAAACGGCGGAGACGAAUAAUCUCCGCUAAUGACGGUACCGGAAGAAUAAGCACCGGCUAACUACGUGCCAGCAGCCGCGGUAAUACGUAGGGUGCAAGCGUUAAUCGGAAUUACUGGGCGUAAAGCGUGCGCAGGCGGUUUCGCAAGUCAGAUGUGAAAUCCCCGGGCUCAACCUGGGAACUGCAUUUGAAACUACGAGGCUCGAGUGUGUCAGAGGGGGGUGGAAUUCCACGUGUAGCAGUGAAAUGCGUAGAGAUGUGGAGGAACACCAAUGGCGAAGGCAGCCCCCUGGGAUAACACUGACGCUCAUGCACGAAAGCGUGGGGAGCAAACAGGAUUAGAUACCCUGGUAGUCCACGCCCUAAACGAUAUCAACUAGUUGUCGGUCCUUAAUUGGAUUGGUAACGCAGCUAACGCGUGAAGUUGACC
rnacentral:rRNA from 1 species